rnacentral:rRNA from 1 species
GACGAACGCUGGCGGCGUGCCUAACACAUGCAAGUCGAGCGAGGAACUUCGGUUCCUAGCGGCGGACGGGUGAGUAACACGUGGGUAACCUGGCUCAUAGAGGGGGAUAGCCUCCCGAAAGGGAGAUUAAUACCGCAUAAGAAGCGAAAGUCGCAUGGCUUUAGCUUUAAAGGAGUAAUCCGCUAUGAGAUGGGCCCGCGGCGCAUUAGCUAGUUGGUGAGGUAACGGCUCACCAAGGCGACGAUGCGUAGCCGACCUGAGAGGGUGAUCGGGCACAUUGGAACUGCGAAGCGGUCCAGACUCCUCCGGGAGGCAGCAGUGGGGAAUAUUGCACAAUGGGCGAAAGCCUGAUGCAGCAACGCCGCGUGGGUGAUGACGGCCUUCGGGUUGUAAAGCUCUGUCUUUGGGGACGAUAAUGACGGUACCCAAGGAGGAAGCCACGGCUAACUACGUGCCAGCCGCCGCCGUAAUAC